rnacentral:pre_miRNA from 16 species
CGCUGUUCUUUUCCAGCACAGCUUUUAAUACCUGUGUGGUAUUUCAUGCUAACCACACAGGUAUUAAAACUGUGCUGGAAAAGAACAGCGA